UACGUAGGUGGCAAGCGUUGUCCGGAUUUACUGGGCGUAAAGGGAGCGUAGGCGGAUAUUUAAGUGGGAUGUGAAAGACUCGGGCUCAACCUGGGGGCUGCAUUCCAAACUGGAUAUCUAGAGUGCAGGAGGGGAAAGUGGAAUUCCUAGUGUAGCGGUGAAAUGCGUAGAGAUUAGGAAGAACACCGGUGGCGAAGGCGACUUUCUGGACUGUAACUGACGCUGAGGCUCGAAAGCGUGGGGAGCAAACAGG
rnacentral:rRNA from 1 species